UGUGUAAAAGUCAAAGAACUUGGCGGUUAAACCGAUGAUCCUCGUAAUACUUUACCCUAAGUUUUCUUUGCAUACCGCCGUCAUUAGGUGUACCUAAAGGGGAAAGAUUGCAGCGAGAUAUCAUUAAAUUUAAAAUGUGAAGAAGUUCAGGUAGACGUGUAGGGUUUCUUAGGGGCUUAGCUGAGUUACAAAUGUAAAACAAUUAUGGACCAUAAAAUGAAAUGUUUAUGUGAAAGCGUACUUAUUAGUAAAUUUUGGAGAGAGAAAUGUUGAAUUGAGUAAAUAAAAUGCGUACAAAUCGCCCGGCGCCCUCGAAUAUUUAAAUUGAGGUAAGUCGUAACAUAGUAAUGCUAGUAAAAACUGGUGUUGAAAAAAAAAAAAAAACCGAUACGCGUGGUCA
rnacentral:rRNA from 1 species